GCCGGAGGUGGUUGAGGGCUCCUGUAGUCCCAGCUACUCGGGAGGCUGAGGCAGAAGAAUCGCUUGAACCCCGGGAGGCGGAGGUUACAAUCUGUUUCUUAGAAGUGGACACGUGAACUCUUACACAGAUCAAGAGGAGCAGCUCUGUAAAUAUUUCCCUGAGAAACUGGUUGGAGUAAAAAGAUUCCCCUUUUCAAGAUCGCCAAAAGUGGAACUGAUCGCUUUCGAAGGGACUCCUUCAGGAAGAAGGAGAAAAAUUCGAGAAACUUACCUGUUUCUCUCCCUGGAAUGCCUUCUGAACCCUGAGAUUUACUUUCCUCAAUAAAGAAGCUCGCCUCGCCCACCCAGCCCACUCUUCCUAGGAGCAGCGAGGAUCGCUGUCCCUCCAGCACAUACUAGUCAACUCGAGUCAUCUGAAUAUGGGCAUAUUGGGCACAUAUUUCUUUGUAAUGGUUCCUCUCCUAUUACAAUAUGUAUCUGUUGUUUCAUCGUUAGAUUGAAAGCUCUUUAAGAAUUAUGGUAACAGUGUUACAGCUCUUUCAGAAUUUGUUUAGCAGGUUUUCUGGUUUUCACAGGAAAAUAAAAUAAAAACAAUAAUUAUAAUAAUGGCUACCGUGUUUUGAAUGCUUGCUUUUAGGCUAUUAAGCACAG
rnacentral:lncRNA from 10 species